rnacentral:lncRNA from 1 species
GGAGUUUAUUUCAAGUUUUUAAGUAAGCAGGCACCCACCUGGAGAAUGAGGGAAUUUAUUUUAAGUUCAAGUCAGUCAUCAGGCGCCCACCUGGAGAAUGAGGGAAUUCAUUUCAAGUUUUAAGUCAGUAUCAGGCGACCACCUAGAGAAUGAGGGAAUUUGUUUCAAUUUUCAAGUCAGUAGCAGGUGCCCACCUGGAGAACGAGGGAAUUCAUUUCAAAUUUCAAGUCAGUUGCAGGCAUCCACCUGGAGAACGAGGGAAGUCAUUUAAGAAUUCAAUUCAAGUUAGAAGUAGCAGAAGCUCGCCUCAAGAAUGCGAGCAGACAGUCUGAGAUGACCAAAGGAAGAAGUCUCAAUCCAGAAUAAAAGGAAAAAAAAAAGAAAAAGAGAAAUGAAUCCAAAAUGCAUAAGCCGAUGAAAGACAUGAACUGCUCAAGACAUGGCUAAAUACACGAGCACUGCAUGUCCGGUCUUGAUCCGAAGAAGCUGUAGAAGAAUGAAUCAUCACCUGCAGUUAGCAAGCAGCAAGGUUCAAAUCAAAAGUCUGCAUGAAGAACCAUUCAAGCCUCAAGAUCAAGCUUCAGAAGACUUAUAGAUAGGAAUCUUGUAACUCAUAGCUGACAGGCUUAGUUAGUCUUUUUUUAUUUUUUGAUUUUGAUGUAAUAAUAGGCCGCGGACCGGAACCUCGACGGAACGGCACCUCACUCGACUCUGUCAUCCUCUCCACACACUCCAGCACUGCAUUCACCUCUGAACUACACGUGACCUGAUUCCUUUAAAGCCAAGAAUAUGUAGGUAGCUCAGAUACCAGGGAUCGGUCACAAUCUUUUAUCCGUCUUUGUUUCGUUUUAAAUAAGCGUCGGGUCAUAAAUCAAUUACGUUGUUUAUUGUUCUUUGCUCCGGAACCUCUUCGUGUUUCCAAGCAAAGAGGGGCAGCUGUAAGCACGUAAUUUUUGACCCGACACGUUUUUG